rnacentral:rRNA from 1 species
GGAAAGCUUCGGCCGGAAGAUACGUUAUCUAGUGGCGGACGGGUGAGUAACACGUGGGUAACCUGCCUUAUGGAGGGGGAUAACAGAGAGAAAUCACUGCUAAUACCGCAUAAGCACACAGUACCGCAUGGUACAGGGUGAAAAGAUUUAUCGCCAUAAGAUGGACCCGCGUCUGAUUAGCCAGUUGGCAGGGUAAAAGCCUACCAAAGCAACGAUCAGUAGCCGAUCUGAGAGGAUGACCGGCCACAUUGGGACUGAGACACGGCCCAAACUCCUACGGGAGGCAGCAGUGGGGAAUAUUGCACAAUGGGGGAAACCCUGAUGCAGCGACGCCGCGUGAGUGAAGAAGUAUUUCGGUAUGUAAAGCUCUAUCAGCAGGGAAGAUAAUGAC